rnacentral:sRNA from 1 species
GUCCUAAAAAUUGGCGUACGUGGUGUACGUUCCUAGGCCUUGGCCAUUUCGCGAUAACUUCUAGUUUUUCGGGGAUUGGGCGUAUGCGACCCCCUCCCACAAGAUGUCCCACGAACUCCAACUCCUUCGUACCAAACACACAUUUCGAUGGUUUGGCGUAGAGCUUGUGCUCUGCCAGAGUUGUGAGCACCUGAUCCACAUGUUGUAGGUGCUCUUCGUACGAGUUCGAAAAGAUUAAGAUAUCGUCAAGGUAUACGAGGCACGAUCGGCCGUUCUGUUUUGCAAGGAUCGUAUUCAUUAUCGUCUGAAAGGUUGCAGGGGCGUUUGUAAGCCCCAUAGGCAUCGCAAGAAAUUCAAACUUUCCCCAUUGCGUGUUAAACGCUGUUUUGGGCACUGAUAGUUCGCCUACGCGAAUCUGCCAGUAUCCUGCGAGU